rnacentral:rRNA from 1 species
GACGAACGCUGGCGGCGUGCUUAACACAUGCAAGUCGAACGGAAAGGCCCGGCUUUUGUUGGGUGCUCGUGUGCCGAACGGGUGAGUAACACGUGUGUAUCCUGCCCUUGACUUUCGGAUAACAUUAGGAAACUGGGGAUCAUAUCCCGUAGAAUCUCCUGCUCCGUAGGGGGGGUUGGUAAGUGUCGGCGGUUGUGGAUGGACUCGCGGCUUAUCAGCUAGUUGGUGGGGUAGGGGCGUACCAAGGCUUCGACGGGUAGCCGGCCUGAGAGGGUGAACGGGCACAAGGGGACUACGAGACGGCGCAGAAUGCUACGGGAGGCAGUAGUGGAGAGUAUUGCGCAGUGGGCGGAAGCCUGAUGUAGCAACGUCGGGAGCGUGAUGCCGGCCUUCUGGUUGUAAACAGAUUUCGCCUGUGACGAAGAGUGAGUGACGGUACUGGGUAAAGAAGCACCGGCUAACUACGUG